rnacentral:rRNA from 1 species
GACGAACGCUGGCGGCGUGCUUAAUACAUGCAAGUAGAACGCUGAAGGAGGAGCUUGCUUCUCUGGAUGAGUUGCGAACGGGUGAGUAACGCGUAGGUAACCUGCCUGGUAGCGGGGGAUAACUAUUGGAAACGAUAGCUAAUACCGCAUAAGAGUAGAUGUUGCAUGACAUUUGCUUAAAAGGUGCAAUUGCAUCACUACCAGAUGGACCUGCGUUGUUUUAGCUAGUUGGUGGGGUAACGGCUCACCAAGGCGACGAUACAUAGCCGACCGGAGAGGGGGGGCAGCCGCACUGGGAGUGUGACACGGCCCAGACUCCUACGGGAGGCAGCAGUAGGGAAUCUUCGGCCAUAGGCGGAAGUCUGACCGAGCAACGCCGCGUGAGUGAAGAAGGUUUUCGGAUCGUGAAGCUCGGUUGUAAGAGAAGAACGAGUGUGAGAGUGGAAAGUUCACACUGUGACGGUAUCUGACCAGAAAGGGACGGCUAACUACGUG